rnacentral:rRNA from 1 species
UACGAAGGGGGCUAGCGUUGCUCGGAAUCACUGGGCGUAAAGCGCACGUAGGCGGCUUUUUAAGUCAGGGGUGAAAUCCUGGAGCUCAACUCCAGAACUGCCUUUGAUACUGAGAAGCUUGAGUCCGGGAGAGGUGAGUGGAACUGCGAGUGUAGAGGUGAAAUUCGUAGAUAUUCGCAAGAACACCAGUGGCGGAAGGCGGCUCACUGGCCCGGUACUGACGCUGAGGUGCGAAAGCGUGGGGAGCAAACAGG